UUUUUUAUGAUUUUUUUGGCGUAGAGCAUACCUUCUACGAUUUCUGCACACGAAUUUGGCGUAUUUAGUAACGAAUGGAUGUCCCCCCGGGAAACACGCAGUCGGACGCACGGUCACCUGCGCUGCUGAGGGUCCCUGCGGCCGACCUGCACCACCACGUCGCCACACUUGAUGUUCUUGAAGAGGUUGAUGGCCUCCGCAUGCGUCAGGCCCUGCAGGGGGCAGCCGUUCACUGCCAGGACCUCGUCCCCUGCGACAACACACGGCGACGCUGCAGACGUUCCCCAGCUCCCGCUGUCUUCCUCCUCACCGAGCGCUCAACCGCGGCUCCGAACAUCACCACUGGCAGAGGCCAUCGAGAGAAACCGACGGCAUGGGGCUAAUAUGUUUCGUCGGGCUGCUCUCCCAUUAUCAAACGUACAACUUUACGAAUUCCCAGAAUUAAAUACAAUCUUUAAUCUUUUCUGUCACCGUAAAUGUUAUCGGUGUGGUCUGUUUGCAUCACAUUACCUGAAAGGGUUCCUAUCAAUACUGUUAACAAUAUAAGUACUUAUAAUUAGAGAAUUGCAAAAUUCGCGGAUUCAUUUCGUGAUAUGCUACAAUUCAAAUAAUUAUACCUUAGCGCUGCUUCUGCAAUUGGUUCACUGUUAAUCUGGAGUAAUGAGGGCCAAUUAGAGACCCUCGCUCAAAGAAGUGUCGAAUCACAGACACUCGGUCGAGACGACUCACAAGUCAGCAGCCAAUGAACAGGUGGCAUUUGCCCGAGUGUGUAGAGUGUAGUAGAGUCUAUCCUGGAGGUCAUUGAAUCCGCAAAUUUUGCAGGUCUCUAUAAUUUAUGUCUUAUCAGGGUAAACAGAAGAAUUAAAAAAAAAAAUUCAAACUAAGCUGAGCCCCUGGUGCCUCUGCCAUUGGAGGUAAAUUAUAUUCUUUUCUACGAGUUUGAAAUUCACUACCCAUGUAGGCUAUGUAUGAAUGGGGAAAUUAAUGAGCAUAAGUAAAUGCAUGCAAAUUUUGAAGUUUUCAUGAUAACUAGUUUCCAUGUGUUGAAAGCGAGAUGAAAACCAACCAAUAUGAAAUACAAAGAACAAACAAUUUUUAUUGAUGCUGAAGAAGACUAGGAUAGACGACUCAUUGCGCAAUGUUUAAUUUAAUACAAGUAUCUGAGAACCAAGUGCAAGUAAUGUGCUUUGAGAGCUGAGGUAUUUAUUGACUGCAGGAGCAUUAUGCUGAAUUUCAUUUUUGCUGUUAGCUUUAAAAAAAUUUUCUUUAAGUUGGUGGGAUAUAUCACCCCCAUCAACGUCUUUCCCCUACGUUCGCCCAUUAUUUCAUUCACUGAUCCGUUAAAACAGGGGUUCCCGACGUCUUAGCAACUCCAUACCACUCAACAUUUUCAGAAACAUUGGCGCACCACUAGGCCUACUUAAUCUUUUAGUUUUAGAUAUUAAUAUAUAAACUACGGUUAUUUUAGAAAUUAAAAAAAAAAUGCCUAUUGCAAAA